GGGGUGUGGUGGUGGGGUGGCUCUAUGCAUGAGCGGACUUGCUGGAGCAUAGGAAGCUGAGCUCAGUCUCUGGAAUGCUUGUGAGAAGACUGGAUGCCGGGGCAUCCAUUCAUAAUUUCAGCCCUCCUUCGGCCAGACAGGAAGUGGAGACAGAAUUACCCAGAAGAUGGCGGGACAGUUGUCCUAAAAGAAGGAGUCACCAGGAUUACCCCGUGGUCUAUUUGACGGUGAAACUGCCAUGUGUCCAAGGACCAUUCGGGCUUGCCUCUGGUAACCAUGGAGAUAUGAAACCUCCAAGGGGAUGACCAAAUGAACCCUCCA
rnacentral:lncRNA from 1 species